CCGACGGUGAGGGGUGAAAGCUGGUGGAGCAAACCGGAUUAGAUACCCGGGUAGUCCCAGCCGUAAACGAUGUGCGUUAGGUGUAUCGGUGACCACGAGUCACCGAGGUGCCGAAGAGAAAUCGUGAAACGUACCGCCUGGGAAGUACGGUCGCAAGGCUGAAACUUAAAGGAAUUGGCGGGGGAGCACCACAACAGGUGGAGCCUGCGGUUUAAUCGGACUCAACGCCGGAAAACUCACCAGAUAA
rnacentral:rRNA from 1 species